rnacentral:rRNA from 1 species
GACGAACGCUGGCGGCGUGCCUAAUACAUGCAAGUCGAACGAACAUACCCUGCGGUUGCUCCUCUCUCGUUUGGAGCGGGCGGUUGAGUAACGCUUGGAUACCCUACCUAUACUACUGGGAUAAAUUCGGGAAACCGGAGCAAACACCUUAUAACAUGUUGAACCACAUUGUUCCACAGUGCAAGACGGUCUUUCUGUCACUUAUAGAUGGAUCCGCGCUGGAUUCGCGAGUUGGUAAGGUAACGGCUUACCAAGGCAACGAUGCGUAGCCGACCUGAGAGGGUGAUCGGCCACACUGGGACUGAGACACGGCCCAGAGGCCUACGGGAGGCAGCAGGAGGGAAUCUUCGGCAAGGGGCGAAAGCCUGACCGAGCAACGCCGCGUGAGUGAAGAAGGUUUUCGGAUCGUAAAACUCGGUUAUUAGGGAAGAACAAGUAUGUAAGUAACUAAACGCGUCCUGACGGUAAAUAAUCAGAAAGCCACGGCUAACUACGUG